AGCAUCUCAAUUUUUAUACACCGUAUUUANGCGCUUAGAUGCGAUUAUUGGCUCUUUUAGUGUCUUUUAAUUGUAUUUCUAAUGCGCGCGGUAAAGCCUGCUUCGAGAGUAAGUGGGUAAUCCAUUGGAAGUAAUGAUUUCUCUUUAUUAUAGCACACCUAUAUACGGCAUUCAUUCCCGGGAUGACUAGUUNCGUCUUUUUUGUGCGAAUGUAAUGUAUUCUUUAUCCGUAUGUGCGAUUGUCAAUUCAUGGUGGGGACAGACCAUUGUUAAUUGUUGGCUCGGUCUUAACUAGGAAUGCCUUGUACGGGUCUUUGGUCAACAAACCACCCGGAAUACGUCCCUGCCCUUUGUACACACCGCCCGUCGCUCUUACCGAUAAACUUCUUUGUGAGUCUAAGGGACUGGGUUAAUACUUAUUUUAAUA
rnacentral:rRNA from 1 species